GUGAUGGAACAAAUACUUUUAUUAUAUUAUCAACAUUAUUUGCAUAUAUGUGAUCAAUUAUUGUCGAACUUCUUUUCGUUGUUAUGGUUGGAUUUUGUAAAAGUGCGAAGCGGGUUUGGACUGCCUCUUCUUGGAGACUUAGUCCGUGUCAUUGAUGAACGUUCCUCUCCUCCCUAAGCGGGGAGUUGGGGGAAGGGAGUGCAUUCUGAGUGGU